UACACAAUAAUUAUAAUAAUAUAAAAAAAAUAUAUAUACCAAGAAAUAUACACUGCUCAAAAGAAUAAAGGGAACACUUAAACAACACAAUGUAACUCCAAGUCAAUCACACUUCUGUGAAAUCGAGAGCAUCCUGUCGGGCUGUAUCACCGCCUGGUACGGCAACUGCUCCGCCCACAACCGUAAGGCUCUCCAGAGGGUAGUGAGGUCUGCACAACGCAUCACCGGGGGCAAACUACCUGCUCUCCAGGACACCUACACCACCCGAUGUCACAGGAAGGCCAUAAAGAUCAUCGAGGACAACAACCACCCAAGCCAUUGCCUGUUCACCCCACUAUCAUCCAGAAGGCGAGAUAUGCAGGUGACAUUUCCACCUGGAUGACAGCACAGAGAUGCUCUUCAUCCGAGGGAAUGCCUGCCCAUUCUCAGAUGUUAGAUAAUCUGAGAAGAUCACAUCAUUUACAUUCCAGCCCUUGUCAGCUCCAGAUUUGACUACUUCAACUCACACCCUGCUGGAAUCCCUGCAUUAUCAGAUUCCACUCUGUUAUUAAUCACUAUAUUGUACUCAAUAAAGUCUUUCAAAAUGC